CUAGAGAUUCCUGGAGUUUAAGACCAGACAGAUCAUUGUGAUGAUCUAUUUUGGUGUCUACGUACCACAGACUACCCAGUGAUUCUUGCUUUGAACUGAUGAUUUGUGGUUGAACUAGAGAAUUUUAUAGAAAGACAUUUAUCUACUUUUGAUUUAAAGUUCUAAAUCACAGAGAAUUUACCAGAUCCCUUGGGAAGCUGUUCCAAUUGUUAAUUACCCACACUUAAAAAAAUGUGUCUUAGUUCCACUUUUAAUGAUGAUUGAGUAGAUGCAUGUUCCCUCCUAAUCAAUACUGAACCAUCAGUAUAGCAAAGUAGUACUUUGGGUGGCAUUUUUAGGUUCAUUGUAAGCCCAAAGUCUUGGUCACUUGUGAUCAGUAAGAUGGCAUGGCACUUUUAUAAGUGUGUUAACUCUGUUAUUCUGGCCUGAUUCCAACCUGAGUAAUUCUGUUUUGCCUCCCUAAAUUCCUCCUGCAGUUGGAUACCUUCUUCUUUUUCUAAACUGUUGUGUGGUGUUGCUCUGCCCUUUACAAGCAACAAUGUUUUGGAUGAAAUCUGCACUGCAGAUCUGUGUAUAAUGUGUUUGGGGGAACUGUAUACAUGUAGGAUAACAACAUUUAUUACGAAUAAUGAAAAAUAGGAUACACAUCCUAAGGAUUAACAGCUAAUGGUGAAGUCUGGUCAGAAGUCAAACACAGUUUAGAUUGUAAGCUCUUUGAGGCAAGGACUAUCUCUUAGGCACUGUACAAACACUCAAUAUCACCAUGGGGGUGGAGUACGGGGUAUGGGACCUGUUCUUGGUUGGUCCCUAGGCACCACCAUGAUGAACAUGAUACAUUUAAAAAAUAAAACAAAAUCAAAGCCAAAUACCCAGUCCUCCUCAAAAAUUUCAACCAACCAGACAAAAACACAGACUUGUUCUGGUCUCUUUGCAUGUGUGAAUGCUGAACCUGAAAAACGCAGGAAAGCUAAUAAAAAAGAUGUUCUCAAAUAUAACCCUGUGAAUCAGUCAAUAUGGUAAAUGCAGUUGCAACCUGUGAAAUUUUAAGUCGUCUUAAUGUGAAGUGCACCUAACAAUAAUAAGAUUCCGUCAGACUUGCAAGCAGCUUUCAUUUUUCUUGUAGGUGUUUUGGUUUUUUUACAUGUAGUAAUUACAUGAUUUGGCAAGAUUUCCAAGUGUGAUGGGGCGCUUUUCAUAGAAGUGUUUUUUUUUUUUUAAAGUUUUCAUUUGAGGAAUAAUUAGAUGAAAUAGAGAAGUUAAGCAUUUCUCGGUGAAACUCACCUUUAGUUAGUCUGCUGUGAAAUCAAAACUGAGCAGCAUGGAUUUAAAAUCCAAAGUAAUCUUAGUCUCAUUUUGAUUUUUGUUUAAUCCUAAACCCUAAAAAUUAUGAAUAUUGAAGGUUAUGGUAUAGAACUUCACUUUUCUCUCCUUUGUAACUGACAACUGCACAGCUGGAGAUUAAGUACACAAAUAAUGUAAUAUACCAUAUGCUUAGAUGUCAAGUAAGAUGUGUAAAUAAAGGGCCUGUCUUAUUUCUUAAAGUCCUUACUAACAUUGUUUAUAAUCUUUUGUCCUAAAUAAGGGAUCCAUAGGUUUGUAUCUGCCCUUGUAUGUAUUCUGAAACUUACUAGGAAGCUAUGGUUUCAGACCAAUCCUAUGUGGUAAAGACUCCUUGGUCUUUAUUUCUGUCAUUAUUUUGCUAUUACUUUCCUUGUCUAAAAGAGGAGAUGAAUAUUCAGCCCAGUGUCUGAGUCAGAAUGAUCAUUAACCAAAAGGCAAAGCAGCAUUUGGUUUGCUUUGUAUUCACAGUCCCUAGGAGAGGCACAGAGACCUCCGGUACAGAUUCAGUCCCUUGUUCCAGAGGCGACCUCCAGCUUGUGUUCUGGCCAGGGGUCUGUUGAUCUGGUUUAUUAUUAAGAGUUGUUCUCGGAUUUAAAAUAAAAUCAGAUUGUUACAAUCUUCCAUUUAGUUACUACUCUGCUGGCCUGCCAACUGCCUUUCAACUCAAAUAAUUCCUGCCAAAGCAAAUGCUCCAAUAUGCUCCUAUGCUUGUAGAUAAUGAGCUCUGCUUCUAAUGCUGCCACGUUAUUGUCCAUGUGCAUAUCUACUGAGUGUUCAGGAGUGGGACUCAUUUAUUUACAGAACAGAUAAAGAACACUAGUUGGUUCUAUCAUAUGCUUCGUUUUCUACGCUAUGAACAACUUCGCUUUAUCCAUUAGCCAGGUCUUGGAACAGCAUUUUCCUCCCUUUCUCCUCAGCUGAAAGCACAAUAAAUAGCUACAUUUCUGAUAUGGCAUUAGUUGAAACGGUGUUCUACACCUUAAAGAGACAAUUUAUUAUUGUUACAGAAUAAUUUUUGGUAAGCUGCAACUUUUUACCAAACUGGGAUGUAGUUUAAAAUAUAUAAAAAACCCAACUGGACUGGAAACUGGUUAUAAUUUGACAUCUUGGAAUAAAAGGGUGUCUUGGCUUAGAUACACAUCUUGAACCAACCUGGAUUAUGUGAUGCCACGAGGCAUCCUUUGAUACCUCCAGAAGACUGCAGUUAUCAGUAUAAAUAAUGUAUUUCCCAGAGCACCCAUUAUUUCUAGCUAUUUUACAAAGAGAAAAGAGGGCAUGAUCCCUGCUCCAAGGAUUUUACAAUCUACAGACAGACAGAAGUUAGAGGAAAGUGUACAGCCUAUAGAAGAUGGUAAAAGUAGUGAGUAAAUGGCCACAUCUUGAUAAUAUAAGAUUAAUCCUAUCCAAUUUUCCCCUCAGAUCUGCCAGUGUAAGUCAGAUAGUUUUCAAUACAAAAAUAAUAUAUGAUCAAUUUCUGCCCAUUCAGUUAGAUUGCUUUCUAUCCAUAAUGCACAUUGCAAUACAAGUCAUGUAGCACAGAGGAAGGUUAUGAGUUUUGCUACAGCUAUUUCCAGUUUCUUUGACGCACAUACAGAUGUAAUAAAUUGUAUAUUAAAUGGAUUUUUGGAACAGGGAGCUGGAAUAGUAGCUUGCUCCAUCCACUCCAUGCAUCAGUCUGGUAUUGCAGUGCUUCCAGGAAUGGUGCACCUCCCAUCUGGGAGAAUAUUCUGGUUAAAAGAAAGUGGGGGGAAAAAAAAAUUGCUGCGUUACUGUCUUGUUUUUAAUGUUAAUACAUUUCUCGUUUUUUUGGGGUUAUUUGUAUUUUGUUUUUAGUAGAGGCACUUGGGGGAGGGUAGGCUACUUUUCUUAAUUUUACUGUUGUUUUAUAGGCCAUUUAAGUGGCUCUUUUAUUAGUCUAUUCUAUGUAGGUGCUCCCACUGCUCUCAUUAGUGUACCUUCCAAAAGUGUGUGGUUUGGAUCAGUCUUUCAUCUGUGUUCCCACAGGAGAGAAUUUUUCCAUCCCUUUCCCCUUGAGAAAAUGCCCCUGUUUUAGCUUAGGGAGUAGGCUCUGUAAAUGUUUCCCCCAAACUAGGAAUAGUUUAUAGGAGCAUUAGAGGAGGAAGGUUUGAAAUACUUUCCUCAUGGAUUGUAUUUUCUAAAUGGACAACCUACCCUAAAUUCUCAAUUGCUGAGGGGCAAUCUUCACUUAUUGUAUAUUUGCUUUCCACAACCAACUCUGUACUUUUCAUGAGUGGUGUACCCGAAUACUUUGGAUGCUAAUAUCUAAACUGUAUUCUUAAAUUUAUUCACCUAAAUUUGGGUUAUUGCUGAUUAUGUAUUAUAUGUAUCUUAUGGACUACCCACAAAUACAAAGUUUGUUUUUAAAAUUUAAGCACUGUACACAGAUGUACAGACUCUUUUUUUUCUUAACCUGUGUACUAUAUAAUUUUUUAAUAUUAGCUUUAAUAAAAAAAUUUAAACAGUUUAAGUGUGGUACCUUUUAUUUCUCCUACACCACCACCAAUAGGUGUGCAAACUAAUUUUACGGUUGUUAAAAUUAUCGAGCACAGCAUUUGAUUUCCCUCCAUGGGAAGAGGAUCUGCUAGUACAAGCAGACUUUCAUCUAAAAUUCAAAUGGUGUAGUUAUCGCCCAAAAGAAUAUUCCUCUAGUGACCACUCCUUCAGAUCUCUCCUUAAGACUCACCUCUGCCAUGAUGCCACCUUACCAUGGUCAGGCAAAUUAAUAAUGCGCAAACAUGCUUAUUUUACUCUUACCUUGUUCUUCUUUGUUUGUCAAUUUCAUCCACUUUUGGAGUCCUGCCAUAAACCUAGAUUGUGAGCUCACUGGGGCAGGGACUGUCUUUGUAUUACAGGUUUGUGCAGUACUUAGCACAAUGGGUCUAGAGCCCGGCCUGAGGCCUCCAAGUGCUCCUGUAAUACAGACUUGUCAUUCAGAGGGUGGAAUACACUAAAGAGUGUUCCAAACUAGAAUUUUCACUCAAUGUGCGGGGUGGACUAAACAUUAUUAUAAACAAGAGUCACUGGGAAAGUGGAUGGUGUUUUGAAAACAAAAACUCCAAAUGAGCUUGAUUUGAAAAGUGUAA